rnacentral:lncRNA from 1 species
ACAAGUUCAAGAGAAAUGCAAAGGAUGCCAUCACUAUAAUUCAACUGUACUGAUAAUGGAACAAACAAUUUAUUGAAAAACAAAAAUGUUACAUUUUAGAUUAACAUUUGUCGUAGUUUUGAAUACAGAGCAAAGGUGCAGGAACUUACAAGACACUUUUGAACAUUAUAUUAUUGAUGGGGCCACAAUCUCCACUCUCAACCACAUUUGCAAACUUCCAACUUCAUGAACUUGCAAGUGUUCAUCUUUGUUUUUUUUUGACAGAAAGACUGUAAAGGAACCCCUACAGUAUAAUUGGUGCAACAAACCCAAAUUGCAAGUACCAUGCCUUGAACCUGGGUGGGUGGGAAGGCAUCAGCCCCUUCCCACCACUAGGCUAUGCCUUAGUCUGCGUGUUCAUCUUUGUUGCUGCCAUAGGCCAUUCUUCUUUUCCUACAUAAGAGAAGAUGCUCUUCUAACAAACAACCAACACUCAAAACUCGGACAAAACUCGAUAUAGCAAAUAAUUGAAAUACUAAGGUGAUAAAACUAGAACUAGAUCAUCUCAAUUGGCAGCAUACAGGAACAUACAUCACACUAACUGAACAAGCAAGGGGUUCAAGAAAUCAGCGAGGGAAGAGGUGAGAUAAUGGAGUACAGAACAUAAAUUUGGCUUCUGGAGCUUGGUGUUGCAGCAGUCUAAGACGUGGCUUUGAAGAUGGAGAAGAACAGGAACAUGUAGAUGCAAGAGACGAUCAGCAGCGGGUGUUGACAGAGUUCAGCAGCAAGCUGUCAUUGGGGAAGAGCAGCGUCGUCAUUGGAGAGGAGGUAGAAAGUUUAAAUUGUGCUGCAAAAAGGCUCUAAAUACUAAAUGAAUAAAUGUUCUAUCAAUUAUCUACAAGGAAAGAAAACAUGUACGAGAACAAAUAAUCAUUCUCAGGUGGUUAGUCAAAAUAUACAUGAAAGACACCUUCUAUUCUGUUCUCAGGUGGUUAGGGAUAGCAAUAUAUGGACAAGGAUGCCGCCAAACACACCAAGCAUGAUUUAUUGAACAUGUGCCCAUAUGGUUACCCACAGAAGAGUUGACACAUGAUAACAAUAUAUGGAAAAAUAAAGCAUUGUGUACCUUCCUGCUUACAAGCAGCAAUCCCUCCCCAUGGUCAUCCUUCCAUAGUUACUUGACCUCCAAAAAGAUAGAUCCAUAGUUACUUGACCUCCAAAAAGACAGAUCUGAGAACACAAAUUACAUUAGUGAUCCAUAAUCCACCAUAUUAUAUAGAAGCAUAAUUUCUAACUCAUUCUGCAGGGCCAUACAUCUUUCCCUACAUAAGGGAACAUGUUUUUUCAACAAACUACCCAUACUGGGAGGUCAAAUGAAACUGAAUGCAACUUACCAACACGCUUUUGGUCUGAAUAAAUGAUCAUGAGCCACUGCAGAAACAUAGCGAAUUUAUCACAAGUACUUUAAGAUUACUCAAUCAACAUCGUUUAAGUACAAAAUGAAAUUGUUAACUAAAAAGGCAAAAUGUACGACUGUACACAGAUUUGAAACUAAUUUUCAAUCGUAAAUAGCAUUUUUUUUCAACAUACAGAAGUUCUUUGCAUGGACAUAAAAUGCACAAAGUUACAUAUUCAGAAUUAAGAAUGAAAUAGAUUUUUUUUGUAGCUGUGCAGCACAUCUAAACUAUUUGACACAACAGCCAGAUUGGGUAGGGAAGAUGAGAAAGAGGGCCUGGACAGGCAGGGAGUCACCUCUGCACAGGGAGGGAGGCGGAUCUGGAAAUCGCCGGCCAGGGAGGCGGAUCUGGACGUCGCCGGCGAGUUGGGGUGGCGCUCGACGGAGAGGGGGGUGGCGCUCGACGGCGAUGUGGGCGGCGCUCGACGGCUAGGGGGGCGGCCGAUCGGAACUGGACGGUCGGUACGGGGGAAGUGGCGGCGCUGGACGGGGGAGGUGGCGGCGGUGGACGGGGGAGUGGGAGGAGUAUCUCGAUGGGGAAAACUGGAUCGGGUUCUAGGUAUUUUGACCAAGCCCUCCAG